UAAGGAAUAUUGGACAAUGGGCGGAAGCCUGAUCCAGCCAUCCCGCGUGCAGGAUGAAGGCCCUCUGGGUUGUAAACUGCUUUUAUUGGGGAAGAAACCUGCGUAUUUAUAUGCAGCUGACGGUACCCAAGGAAUAAGCACCGGCUAACUCCGUGCCAGCAGCCGCGGUAAUACGGAGGGUGCAAGCGUUAUCCGGAAUCACUGGGUUUAAAGGGUGCGUAGGCGGCCUGUCAAGUCAGGGGUGAAAUGU
rnacentral:rRNA from 1 species